UGGGGAAUAUUGCACAAUGGGCGAAAGCCUGAUGCAGCAACGCCGCGUGCGGGAUGACGGCCUUCGGGUUGUAAACCGCUUUCAGCAGGGACGAAGGUUUUCUGACGGUACCUGCAGAAGAAGCACCGGCUAACUACGUGCCAGCAGCCGCGGUGAUACGUAGGGUGCGAGCGUUGUCCGGAAUUAUUGGGCGUAAAGAGCUUGUAGGCGGUCCGUUGCGUCGGAAGUGAAAACUCAGGGCUUAACCCUGAGCCUGCUUUCGAUACGGGCGGACUUGAGGGAUGUAGGGGAGAACGGAAUUCCUGGUGGAGCGGUGGAAUGCGCAGAUAUCAGGAGGAACACCAGUGGCGAAGGCGGUUCUCUGGACAUUUCCUGACGCUGAGAAGCGAAAGCGUGGGGAGCAAACAGGCUUAGAUACCCUGGUAGUCCACGCCGUAAACGGUGGGCACUAGGUGUGGGACCCAUUCCACGGGUUCCGUGCCGUAGCUAACGCAUUAAGUG
rnacentral:rRNA from 1 species